CGCCUCUUGAAUCUAAUAAGAGGUCCAGCCUGCCCAGUGACUCUGUUCAACGGCCGCGGUAUCCUAACCGUGCGAAGGUAGCGUAAUCACUUGUUCUUUAAAUGAGGACUAGUAUGAACGGCACCACGAAGGUUAUACUGUCUCCUUUUUUUGAUCAGUGAAACUAAUCUCCCCGUGAAGAAGCGGGGAUAAGCCUAUAAGACGAGAAGACCCUAUGGAGCUUUAAACAACAUAACACUCACCUUACACUACAAAAUCUCAGAACAGAAAUUUGCCAGGUGAGAUGACUAUAAGUUUUCGGUUGGGGUGACCACGGAGUAAAACGCAACCUCCAUGUUGAAAGAAUAUAAUUCUAAACUAAGACUCACUAAUCAAAGUAUCAAUAUUUUGACAUCAAUUGACCCAAUACUUUUGAACAACGAACCAAGUUACCCUAGGGAUAACAGCGCAAUCCACUUUAAGAGCCCCUAUCGACAAGUGGGUUUACGACCUCGAUGUUGGAUCAGGGUCUCCAAGUGGUGCAGCCGCUACUAAAGGUUCGUUUGUUCAACGAUUAAAACCCU
rnacentral:rRNA from 1 species